rnacentral:rRNA from 1 species
AUUGAACGCUGGCGGCAGGCCUAACACAUGCAAGUCGAGCGGAUGAAGGGAGCUUGCUCCUGGAUUCAGCGGCGGACGGGUGAGUAAUGCCUAGGAAUCUGCCUGGUAGUUGUGGAUAACGUCCGGAAACGGGCGCUAAUACCGCAUACGUCCUGAGGGAGAAAGUGGGGGAUCUUCGGACCUCACGCUAUCAGAUGAGCCUAGGUCGGAUUAGCUAGUUGGUGGGGUAAAGGCCUACCAAGGCGACGAUCCGUAACUGGUCUGAGAGGAUGAUCAGUCACACUGGAACUGAGACACGGUCCAGACUCCUACGGGAGGCAGCAGUGGGGAAUAUUGGGCAAUGGGCGAAAGCCUGAUCCAGCCAUGCCGCGUGUGUGAAGAAGGUCUUCGGAUUGUAAAGCACUUUAAGUUGGGAGGAAGGGCAGUAAGUUAAUACCUUGCUGUUUUGACGUUACCAACAGAAUAAGCACCGGCUAACUUCGUG